rnacentral:rRNA from 1 species
UAAGGUAGUAGUAGUUAUGAUCUUGAAACUUAAAAAAUUUGGCGGUAUUUUAGUCUAUUCAGAGGAACCUGUUUUAUAAUCGAUAAUCCACGAUGGACCUUACUUGAGUUUGUUAUCAGUUUAUAUACCGUCGUUAUUAGAAUAUUUUAUAAGAAUUUUUAAUUUUUAUAAUUUUUAAAGAGAAAAUAUAUCAGAUCAAGGUGUAGCUUAUAUUUAAGUAAAAAUGGGUUACAAUAAAAUUAUUUAAAUGAAUAUAAAUUUGAAAUUUUUAUUGAAGGUGGAUUUGAUAGUAAAAUUAUAUAGAUUAAUAAU